UUAAAAUACAGGGGUCCAAUUAAAGUUUAUUCAGGGAGCUUGAUUACAAAACUUUCAAAACUUCAAAGACCAAAAUGCAAAUGGCCAUUAACAUCGAACAACGCCGUUUCAAAUAGAACCACUCGUCUUCUUCCGCUCACCAACCAGAGAAACGGACGCCCCUGCCAUCAUUUCUCCUGCAAUAACAAUCCUGAAUGCCUUCAUUACCAGGGAAAACGCAUGGCAUUCUCUGAAUAUAAAAGCCAGAGAAGGGAUUCACAGAGGAAGUGGGGGGAUGAAAAACAGAACCAAGAAAGGCAAACGAGCCUAACACACAGACGAAAACGAGAAAACACAGAGGAAGGAGCUUCCAUUCAACUAGUAACACCUCGUGCCUUUAUUACCAUCGUCUUCGUCUCGAGCAGGGGGGAAACAGGGAGCAUACAGAGAGAACCAAACCUCCGCAUCACCAUCCGCUUCAUCUUUCUUCAAUAUCAGCCUCCAGAAACAGAGGCGACAGAACAAGGAAAACACGAAACUAGGAGGAGAGACAACAGACGAAAGAACAAAAACAGGAGGAUAUAGCCAGAGAAAGCGAGCACGAGAGGGAGACAAAAACGAGCAGAAGGAAAGAAUGUAAGCAGAGGAAAUCAUUGAGACCAGAACCAGCGUUGCCAUCGUCUUCGUCAUUUCAAAAACCAGAGACGAAGAAGAAGAAGAGUACAUACAAGAAUUGAACGGAAAGGAGAAUCAGAAACGAAAACAGUAGCAGAAGGAAAGAGAGAAACGUCGCCCGAUCAGAGCACUGAUCACCCUCAACUUCGUCUUCAUCUUCAGGCAGCAGC
rnacentral:lncRNA from 1 species